AUGCUGGAGGUAUCAGAAGUGCGAAUGCUGACAUAAGUAACGAUAAAGCGGGUGAAAAGCCCGCUCGCCGGAAGACCAAGGGUUCCUGUCCAACGUUAAUCGGGGCAGGGUGAGUCGACCCCUAAGGCGAGGCCGAAAGGCGUAGUCGAUGGGAAACAGGUUAAUAUUCCUGUACUUGGUGUUACUGCGAAGGGGGGACGGAGAAGGCUAUGUUGGCCGGGCGACGGUUGUCCCGGUUUAAGCGUGUAGGCUGGUUUUCCAGGCAAAUCCGGAAAAUCAAGGCUGAGGCGUGAUGACGAGGCACUACGGUGCUGAAGCAACAAAUGCCCUGCUUCCAGGAAAAGCCUCUAAGCAUCAGGUAACAUCAAAUCGUACCCCAAACCGACACAGGUGGUCAGGUAGAGAAUACCAAGGCGCUUGAGAGAACUCGGGUGAAGGAACUAGGCAAAAUGGUGCCGUAACUUCGGGAGAAGGCACGCUGAUAUGUAGGUGAAGUCCCUCGCGGAUGGAGCUGAAAUCAGUCGAAGAUACCAGCUGGCUGCAACUGUUUAUUAAAAACACAGCACUGUGCAAACACGAAAGUGGACGUAUACGGUGUGACGCCUGCCCGGUGCCGGAAGGUUAAUUGAUGGGGUCAGCGCAAGCGAAGCUCUUGAUCGAAGCCCCGGUAAACGGCGGCCGUAACUAUAACGGUCCUAAGGUAGCGAAAUUCCUUGUCGGGUAAGUUCCGACCUGCACGAAUGGCGUAAUGAUGGCCAGGCUGUCUCCACCCGAGACUCAGUGAAAUUGAACUCGCUGUGAAGAUGCAGUGUACCCGCGGCAAGACGGAAAGACCCCGUGAACCUUUACUAUAGCUUGACACUGAACAUUGAGCCUUGAUGUGUAGGAUAGGUGGGAGGCUUUGAAGUGUGGACGCCAGUCUGCAUGGAGCCGACCUUGAAAUACCACCCUUUAAUGUUUGAUGUUCUAACGUGGACCCGUGAUCCGGGUUGCGGACAGUGUCUGGUGGGUAGUUUGACUGGGGCGGUCUCCUCCUAAAGAGUAACGGAGGAGCACGAAGGUUGGCUAAUCCUGGUCGGACAUCAGGAGGUUAGUGCAAUGGCAUAAGCCAGCUUGACUGCGAGCGUGACGGCGCGAGCAGGUGCGAAAGCAGGUCAUAGUGAUCCGGUGGUUCUGAAUGGAAGGGCCAUCGCUCAACGGAUAAAAGGUACUCCGGGGAUAACAGGCUGAUACCGCCCAAGAGUUCAUAUCGACGGCGGUGUUUGGCACCUCGAUGUCGGCUCAUCACAUCCUGGGGCUGAAGUAGGUCCCAAGGGUAUGGCUGUUCGCCAUUUAAAGUGGUACGCGAGCUGGGUUUAGAACGUCGUGAGACAGUUCGGUCCCUAUCUGCCGUGGGCGCUGGAGAACUGAGGGGGGCUGCUCCUAGUACGAGAGGACCGGAGUGGACGCAUCACUGGUGUUCGGGUUGUCAUGCCAAUGGCACUGCCCGGUAGCUAAAUGCGGAAGAGAUAAGUGCUGAAAGCAUCUAAGCACGAAACUUGCCCCGAGAUGAGUUCU
rnacentral:rRNA from 1 species